UACAGAGGUGGCAAGCGUUGUUCGGAAUUACUGGGCGUAAAGGGCGCGUAGGCGGCCUUCUAAGUUCAGACGUGAAAUCCCCCCGGCUUAACCUGGGAACUGCGUCUGAGUACUGGAAGGCUUGGAGUGCGGGAGAGGGAUGUGGAAAUUCCUGGUGUAGCGGUGGAAUGCGCAGAUAUCAGGAGGAACACCGCAGUGGCGAAGGCAGCUCGCUGGGACGGUACUGACGCUGGAGGCGACGAAAGCGUGGGGAGCGAACAGG
rnacentral:rRNA from 1 species